rnacentral:rRNA from 1 species
GACGAACGCUGGCGGCGUGCUUAACACAUGCAAGUCGAACGAAGAGCGAUGGAAGCUUGCUUCUAUCAAUCUUAGUGGCGAACGGGUGAGUAACGCGUAAUCAACCUGCCCUUCAGAGGGGGACAACAGUUGGAAACGACUGCUAAUACCGCAUACGAUCUGACCUCGGCAUCGAGGAUAGAUGAAAGGUGGCCUCUAUUUAUAAGCUAUCACUGAAGGAGGGGAUUGCGUCUGAUUAGCUAGUUGGAGGGGUAACGGCCCACCAAGGCGAUGAUCAGUAGCCGGUCUGAGAGGAUGAACGGCCACAUUGGGACUGAGACACGGCCCAGACUCCUACGGGAGGCAGCAGUGGGGAAUCUUCCGCAAUGGACGAAAGUCUGACAGAGCAACGCCGCGUGAGUGAUGACGGCCUUCGGGUUGUAAAGCUCUGUUAAUCGGGACGAAAGGCCUUCUUGCGAGUAGUAGAAGGAUUGACGGUACCG